ACGGCCAUACCAUGCUGAAUAUACCGGUUCUCGUUAGAUCACCGAAGUCAAGCAUCAUUGGGCGCGGUCAGUACUUGGGUGGGUGACCACCUGGGAACACCGCGUGCCGA